rnacentral:lncRNA from 1 species
UGAGGGUAAUAAAUGCAUAAUCUCAUCGAUCCGUCCGUUUUCUUAAUAGACAGAACCAGUGCACCCCAAGGUGAAAAUCUGGGUCGAGCAAAACCCAUGUCUAUCAAUUCUUGCAACAGUGCUUUCAACUCUUUUAACUGUAUAGGAGCCAUUCUCUAAGUUGUUAUCUAUGUCAGUGAUGUUCUCGGUACAAGUUCUAUAGCAAACUCGACCUGUCUAUUCGACGAUAAUCCAAG